UACAGAGGUCCCGAGCGUUGUUCGGAUUUAUUGGGCGUAAAGGGUGCGUAGGUGGCAAAGUAAGUUGGAUGUGAAAUCCUGGGGCUUAACCUCAGAAUUGCAUUCAAUACUGCUUAGCUAGAGAGCUGUAGAGGAGACUGGAAUUUACGGUGUAGCAGUGAAAUGCGUAGAUAUCGUAAGGAAGACCAGUGGCGAAGGCGGGGUCUCUGGACAGUUCCUGACGCUGAGGCACGAAGGUCAGGGGGAGCAAACGGG
rnacentral:rRNA from 1 species